rnacentral:pre_miRNA from 1 species
AAUAAGUUUGUUUUUGAGUUUUUAUACAAUGUUUGAUUAUUCGUCCUAUUUAAAAUUUUUCUAGGAUUAUUUUUUUGUUAUCAGAUGAUAAACAUAAAUAGUACUUUAUGUAUAACUAAUUUUUUAAGUUUUUCUAGAAAUUUUUAAAUAAGACGGAUGGUCAAAUGUAUGUUGGACAUAGAAAUC